UAAUCCUAAAAUUCUCAAUAAUUUCUGGUCUUACUUUAUGAUGCUUAUGUGUCCCCUGAAACUUGGUAUGAGUGUAUAAAAUGUUCAACUUCAUGGAUAUAUUAAGGUAUUAAGGUAGGCUUAAAAUUCCGACUGCUUUUUUU